GACGAACGCUGGCGGCGUGCCUAAUACAUGCAAGUUGAGCGAUGAAGAUUGGUGCUUGCACCAAUUUGAAGAGCAGCGCACGGGUGAGUAACGCGUGGGGAAUCUGCCUUUGAGCGGGGGACAACAUUUGGAAACGAAUGCUAAUACCGCAUAACAACUUUAAACAUAAGUUUUAAGUUUGAAAGAUGCAAUUGCAUCACUCAAAGAUGAUCCCGCGUUGUAUUAGCUAGUUGGUGAGGUAAAGGCUCACCAAGGCGAUGAUACAUAGCCGACCUGAGAGGGUGAUCGGCCACAUUGGGACUGAGACACGGCCCAAACUCCUACGGGAGGCAGCAGUAGGGAAUCUUCGGCAAGAGACGAAAGUCUGACCGAGCAACGCCGCGUGAGUGAAGAAGGUUGUCGGAUCGUAAAACUCUGUUGGUAGAGAAGAACGUUGGUGAGAGUGGAAAGCUCAUCAAGUGACGGUAACUACCCAGAAAGGGACGGCUAACUACGUG
rnacentral:rRNA from 1 species